AAGUCGUAACAAGGUUUCCGUAGGUGAACCUGCGGAGGGAUCAUUACAGAGUUCAUGCCCUAACGGGUAGAUCUCCCACCCUGUGUUAUCAUACUUUGUUGCUUUGGCGGGCCGUUAGGCUCACGCCUGCCACCGGCUUCGGCUGGUGCGAGCCCGCCAGAGGACCCAAAACCCUGAAUAUUAGUGUCGUCUGAGUACCAUAUAAUAGUUAAAACUUUCAACAACGGAUCUCUUGGUUCUGGCAUCGAUGAAGAACGCAGCGAAAUGCGAUAAGUAAUGUGAAUUGCAGAAUUCAGUGAAUCAUCGAAUCUUUGAACGCACAUUGCGCCCCUUGGUAUUCCGGGGGGCAUGCCUGUUCGAGCGUCAUUACACCCCUCAAGCCUGGCUUGGUAUUGGGUUCCGCCGUUUACUCGGCGGGCCUUAAAAUCAGUGGCGGUGCCCCCGUGGCCCUGAGCGUAGUAAAUAUCCUCGCUUCUGGACCCGGUGGUUACUGGCCAGCAACCCCCAACUUUCUAAGUUUGACCUCGGAUCAGGUAGGGAUACCCGCUGAACUUAA
rnacentral:rRNA from 1 species